rnacentral:rRNA from 1 species
AGCCAGAGGAAGAUAUUUUUGGUUUAACCUGCCCAAUGUGUUAUUGUAUGAAUGGCCGCGGUACCCUGACCGUGCUAAGGUAGCGUAAUCAAUUGGCUUUUAAAUGGAGUCAGGUAUGAAUGGGAUAACCGGGCUUAGCUGUCUCAAAGACAUUUAUUUGAAUUUACUGUUCAAGUGAAAAAGCUUGAUUUAAGAAAAGGGACGAGAAGACCCUUAGAAUUUUGUUUAAAGGGGAUUAUUUCUUCUAUGAUUUUGUUGGGGCGACAGAGAAAUAAUUAAAACUUUCUUUAAAUUAAUCAGUCGGAAUUUUCAGGUUAGGAUAAAUUACCUGAGGGAUAACAGCAUAAUUUUAUAAAUAAGUUUGUGACCUCGAUGUUGGACUAGGGAGCUAAUGGGUUAGCUGCUCAUUGUGCGGAUUCUGUUCGAAUUUUAACUCCUACGUGAUCU